UGGGUGACCUGCCCUCAGCUCUGGGAUAAGCCCGGGAAACUGGGUCUAAUACCGGAUAUGACCUCUCAUCGCAUGGUGAGGGGUGGAAAGUUUUUCGGCUGGGGAUGGGCCCGCGGCCUAUCAGCUUGUUGGUGGGGUGAUGGCCUACCAAGGCGACGACGGGUAGCCGGCCUGAGAGGGCGACCGGCCACACUGGGACUGAGACACGGCCCAGACUCCUACGGGAG
rnacentral:rRNA from 1 species